rnacentral:rRNA from 1 species
GACGAACGCUGGCGGCGUGCCUAAUACAUGCAAGUAGGACGCAGUUGCGAACGGGUGAGUAACGCGUAGGUAACUACCUAUUAGAGGGGGAUAACUAUUGGAAACGAUAGCUAAUACCGCAUACUAGUAGAUGGACCUGCGUUGUAUUAGCUAGUAGGUAGGGUAAUGGCCUACCUAGGCAACGAUACAUAGCCGACCUGAGAGGGUGAUAGGCAACACUGGGACUGAGAGACGGACAAGACUCCUACGGGAGGCAGCCGUAGGGAGUCUUCGGAAAUGUGGGGCACCCUGACCGAGCAGCGCCGCGUGAGUGAAGAAGAUUUUCGGAUCGUAAAGCUCUGUUGUUAAGGGAGCGGUACUUAACCAGAAAGGGACGGCUAACUACGUGCCAGCGGCCGCGGUAAUUC